CAGGAUUCCCGCACUCAGCACUACUUUCCUGAUUACCUGACUGGCUGAAAAGCUCUUGCUGGCAUUUGACUCCGGGAGGUUGCCUCAUACCCACUAGCUUUGCUAGGUGGUUAUGCUCAUCUCUAAGACAAAAAAGGAUGGAUCAUAGAUUCCUGCAAACUCUGAUAAUAGGUUAUGAGAGAGGCAGAAUACCUGUAAUAAAAUUAACUGUCCUACUUUGGCUUUGGUAUCUUAGUUGAAUAAUCCUGAUCCACCUGUUACAUCCAACACAGAACCAGUGCAAUUUGGGGUAACCAUAUUAUUUGAUGCAGAGAAGCAAAAAAGAAUGAAGGAGGGUCUUUGCCUUUACUAUGACAAGAAAAGUCACCUCUGUGUUUGGUGUGUCCAAAAAACUCUUGCACUUCAGGUCACUAAGGGGACUGGCUUUGGGUGUGACACCCGUGUCCUAUCUACCUCUAAAUAGAAUGAUUUUUCUCCCAAAUUCUUUGCAGUGGGGUACCAACACUGUUCAUAUUAAAGCCCUCUUUGACUCUGUGGCAACAGAGAAUUUGAUUAAUUCAGUUUUGUUUCUAAAACCAUCAUAAACCUAUAGGAGAAAAAGACCGCCUUCUCUGUUGAGACAAUAGAUUUGUACAUGUUAUUGCAUAUUAACCCCUUAAGGACUGGGCCAAAUGUCCACGUUGUGAUCAAAACAAAACCUGGCAUUUGCACUAUAUGUCUGUCCAACCGUAAUUCACCUCUUUCAUGUUAAAUGCACCCACACUUAUUAUAUAUUAUUUUAUUCAGGGGAACCAGAGCUUUCUAUUUAACAUCAAAUAUUUAGCUAUGAAACCUAAUUUAAUAUGAAUAAAAUAUUGUAAAAAUGGGAGAAAAUAAGAUUUUUAAAAAAAAUUUUUUUAGUUCUAUGUGACGUUUUAACUGUGAAUGUCAUAAUACUGUUUGCUUUUACUGCAAUAAAAUACACAUAUUUGUAUUCAGCGAUAUCUCACGUGUAAAACAGUACCCCCUAUGUACAGGUUUUAUGGUAUUUUGGGAAGUUACAGGGUCAAAUAUAGCCUGUUAAAUUUUUCAUUUUUUUCACAUUGAAAUUCGCCAGAUUGGUUACAUUGCCUUUGAGACCGUAUGGUAGCCCAGGAAUGAGAAUUUCCCCCAUGAUGGCAUACCAUUUGCAAAAGAAGACAACCCAAGGUAUUGCAAAUGGGGUAUGUCCAAUCUUUUUUAGUAGCCACUUAGUCACAAACAGUAGCCAAAGUUAGCGUUCAUAUUUGUGUGUGAAAAAUGCAAAAAACUAAUUUCCCCUCCCCAUCUCAGCUGUUUUUAAUCAUUUCUAUAUGGUACACCCAGUUUAGGGGUUAGAAAAGAAGACUGGUCCUUUCUGUGAUCCCCUUGAGAAAGGCGUCCAGGUGGGGUUUGGGCUCCAGCCUCUGGUCAGUAUACCUGUGGGUUUAUAUUCAUGCACUUUAAACUUGAUUCAUGUGUUUUUGAAUAUGUUUUUUUUCUAUGUACAUAGGGAUAUAUUUAUACAUGUAAUAUGCACCUAAUAUGUGUCAUUC
rnacentral:lncRNA from 1 species